CAGAGUGGUCACACAGAAGGGAACUGAGGUGCCCACACCGACAGCCUCGGCCAGCUGCCCGUCAUGUGGGUGAGGCCAGGGGGGGCCCCCAGCCCCCAGCAGACUCCCAAACCACCGGCAGCAGAGAUAAGCCAUCCCAGCCAAGCCUUGCCCAACUCGUCAAUCCAGAGAAUUGUGAGCCAUUGAACGGUUCCAGUUUUAAGCCACUGUUCUGGAGUGUUUGUUACGGAGCAAAAGAUAAUCAAGAUGAAAGCACUGAGGCAUGAGAAAGAGAAGGAACUUGACCAAGAUGGCAGAACAGGAAGUGAGCUGCAAGCUUGAUGACAAUUUACCUCUGACCAGAUGAGCUAUUAUCUCAGAAAAACAAAAACACUCUCCUCCACAACUGUUAUCACACUCAAUAAAUUUAAGUUGAUGCAAUAAUAUUACCUCAUAAAUAUACCUCCUCCUGAGGUCCCCCCAGCUCAGUGCCCACCCCAGGCC